UCGGUCUAUAGAUAAAAUUUAUAUAUCAUCUAUUAUCUCGGUCUCCAUAACCCAUUCCUUGUAGAAUAACCCUACAUGAGUCGUCAUCUCUUCCUUCCUUAAAUAGUGUCCCUCUCUAUAAAAUACUCUAAAAUUCAUCCCAUAGUCCCAUAUCCAACGCAGUUACCCAUCACAUAUUCACCAUUGAGAAAACAAUCACAGUCGCUGCUAAACGCCUCCGCCUUUCUCUUCUCUCGCAUCUCUCCUUUAGAAACCCAAAAUCCUAAAUAUCAAACAUCACAACCCACCAACAGUGAACUUUAUUGUCACAUAACCUUCACUACCAUCAAACAAGCCACCUUCAUCACCGUCACACUUCAUCUUACCACCGUUCACCACCGCCAUCUCUCUCGAAUAGCUAACAACAUCUAGCAUAUGCUACUAUUCUAUUCUCUCAUCAUUUGACCUUGAUUUCUAUUUUUGAAGUUUUAACCUCAGGUACCAUUUUUGACCAUGAUUUCUAUGGUGUUUUGGGUAUAAUUGGUCGAAACCUCACCUUUUUACCUUGAUUUUACUCAUAAUGUGGUUUGACUUUGAAUAUCUAACCUCAUGUAUCAUUUUUUCACCUAUAUUGUUAUGGGUCAUAGAAGGUAAAAAAACCUCAUCGUUUUACUUUGCUUUCAUUCAGAAUCUGGUAUGACUUUGAAGAUCUAACGUCAGAUCCAACCUUUAUAGUUCAUAUGCAUGAUUUCUUAUUGACUUUGUGGUCUUUGGUUUAAAUAUUUAAAAAAAUACCUUACAAAUGAAAUUAUUUAGAACUAAACUCUCAGGAAGAGUUCAAGAUCUAUUGAUUGUGGUUUGUGUUCACUGGAAUGGUGUGGUUGCUAGGAAACCUAUAAUGAGAGUCUUAAGGUAGUAUAUGUGUAUGAAAAGUUUAUGGAAGAACAAGUGACUUUAUCAUCAAAAAAACUAUCAGUAUCAAGAUAUGUAUACUAUUUUUUUAUAUUUGUAUUGUUAUGUUCAUUAAGAAUGUAGCUUCAAAUUUUAACCAGUUCUUAUAUUAACAAGGAUGCUUUUCUUGAGGCAGGGAUUUAAUGCAUGAAGUAAUUCAAGAUAAUGAAUUUUUUAUGCCGAAA